AAUAUAUUUAGAUGUUUAGUUGCUUUCUUUUGGUUCCUUUUGAUGAUAACAAACAUAAAUACAACUUUCACAAAAAAAAAAAAAAGAAAGAAACAGAAGAAGAGUCACGUAAGUACACAGAAUGUACAAGGAGGCCUAAAGAAGGAAAUACCCAAUCAGGAUUAGAGAAGCUUGACCUAGAUUACCCUGAGGACAGUUUUAUAGCUGCCAGUAUCGUCAGCCAAUGAAACUAAGAAUCAAGAUGCUAAUCAUAGAGCCAAAUGUUCUUCUGAUUAUGAUACAUUGCACAGCUUGGCAUCUGGAUGCAGCUUCCAAGCAGUGAAUAUACAAGACUCCGUGCAUUUAUAUUCUGUUUAUCUGAAACAACUAAUACAUAAGGGAGUGAGAACAUUCAGUUUGCAGAAAGCUAAUCCAGAUAUGUAAAGAGGUCAAAAUGGCACCAAGACCAGCUGUUUUAAAAUAUUCCUUAAUGAAAAACACAUUGCGUAGAACAAGAUUUGUGCAGCAAGAUCAUUAUAAGGGAGAAAACCUAAAGACUUUGGAGCUGUCACUCAAUAUUCUGCUGUAACAGUUCAGUGCUUUGAAGAGCAACAUUUCACUUUGCACUUUUGUAUCUAUCUUUAAAUUGAGAGUCAUAUUAAAGCAGCAUAUAGAUGUACAUUUUUUCACUUCACCAUGAAACAAUUUUUCAUACAGCGUGUACAUAUUAUAUUUGAGCAGUGCAAAAGUUUCCCAAUAUAGCUACAUCAAAAUUUUCCAUCUGAAGUGUUGAAGAUUUUUACAACAUUAUACAAAUGCCGAAAAGUUGGUUCAUGCCUUUGUCUCCUCCAGACUGGAUUACUGUAAUGCACUUAUCGGGAUUCCGAGAAAGAGUCUGCAAAGGCUUCAGUACAUCCAAAACUCUGCAGCAAGGAUCCUGAUGAGAGUGCGGAAACAUGAGCACAUCACUCCUAAUCUUCAUUCACUCCACUGGCUUCCUGUUUCCGUCAGGAUUGAGUACAAAGUUUCCCUUCUUGCAUCCAUGGAUAUGCUCCCCCCUACCUCAAAGAACUUCUGAAAUUACAAAAUAUAACACGUCCCCUUCGCUCUACUCAAUCAAACCUUCUUCAUAUACCUAGAACUAGACUUAUGACAAUGGGAGACAAGGCAUAUUGUGCAGCUGCCCCACGCCUGUGGAAUGCCCUACCUGGCACUCUGAGGGCUCCUCAAUCCAUUGAUUGUUUUAAAAAAGGCCUUAAGACAUUUCUUUUUAGCAAAGCUUUUUGUUCUUUUAGAUGUUCAUUUCAUUGUGUAAAUUACUUAUUUUUCUGAUCUGUAGCCUUUUGAGAUUUUUUGAUGAA